CACGUGUGUAGCCCCGGACGUAAGGGCCGUGCUGAUUUGACGUCAUCCCCACCUUCCUCACAUCUUACGAUGGCAGUCUUGUCAGAGUCCUCAGCGGAACCUGUUAGUAACUGACAACAAGGGUUGCGCUCGUUAUGGCACUUAAGCCGACACCUCACGGCACGAGCUGACGACAACCAUGCAGCACCUUCACAGAUGCCUUGCGGCUUACGGCUUUCACCGUAAUUCAUCUGCAAUUUAAGCCCGGGUAAGGUUCCUCGCGUAUCAUCGAAUUAAACCACAUGUUCCUCCGCUUGUGCGGGCCCCCGUCAAUUCCUUUGAGUUUCACCGUUGCCGGCGUACUCCCCAGGUGGAAUACUUAACGCUUUCGCUUGGCCGCUUGCAGUAUAUCGCAAACAGCGAGUAUUCAUCGUUUACCGUGUGGACUACCAGGGUAUCUAAUCCUGUUUGAUACCCACACUUUCGAGCCUCAAUGUCAGUUGCAGCUUAGCAGGCUGCCUUCGCAAUCGGAGUUCUUCGUGAUAUCUAAGCAUUUCACCGCUACACCACGAAUUCCGCCUGCCUCAACUGCACUCAAGAUAUCCAGUAUCAACUGCAAUUUUACGGUUGAGCCGCAAACUUUCACAACUGACUUAAACAUCCAUCUACGCUCCCUUUAAACCCAAUAAAUCCGGAUAACGCUCGGAUCCUCCGUAUUACCGCGGCUGCUGGCACGGAGUUAGCCGAUCCUUAUUCAUAAAGUACAUGCAAACGGGUAUCCAUACCCGACUUUAUUCCUUUAUAAAAGAAGUUUACAACCCAUAGGGCAGUCAUCCUUCACGCUACUUGGCUGGUUCAGGCUCUCGCCCAUUGACCAAUAUUCCUCACUGCUGCCUCCCGUAGGAGUUUGGACCGUGUCUCAGUUCCAAUGUGGGGGACCUUCCUCUCAGAACCCCUAUCCAUCGAAGACUAGGUGGGCCGUUACCCCGCCUACUAUCUAAUGGAACGCAUCCCCAUCGUCUACCGGAAUACCUUUAAUCAUGUGAACAUGCGGACUCAUGAUGCCAUCUUGUAUUAAUCUUCCUUUCAGA
rnacentral:rRNA from 1 species